rnacentral:lncRNA from 1 species
CAGAAAGCUAAACUUGUGGCUUUGAUACAAGCUCUAUAAAUGGCAAAAGAGAAGUCUACACUGACAGCAGGUAUGCUUUUGCCACUGUACAGAGCAAUAUACAGACAAAGAGGGCUGUUGACAUCUGCAGAGAAAGACCUAAGAUGCUGUGGCUAGAAAUGGCAGAUCUAACCGCCAAACAGGCAUCCCAAAGAGCAAUGAUCCUGACAGUCUGAAGACUAUCAAGUUAUAGACAAAUGCCAAAACAAUAGUGUCAGAUAAUGGCCCUGCCUUUGUUGCCCAGGUAAGUCAGGGUGUGGCCAAGUACUUAGAGGUCAAAUGAAAAUUAUAUUGUGUGUACAGACCUCAGAGCUCAGG